UAGAACAAGCUCUUAUAGUCUAGCAAUUUUUAUCAACUUAGUAUAAAUCACUGCUAUUAUACAGUGGAGAAUUCAGGAUUUAAGGACUGUGGGUGCUUACUACAGAAAAGAAUGAAAAAUCGCCACAACAAGGUUUGAACCCGAACACACCUACUGGUGGAGAGCCUUGAGAUCAAUUUAAAUGCCAGUGCACCUAACCAACUUCUUGUUUAGUGGGUGCUUUUAUAUAAUUUAUACUCAUUUUCAUAUAUUUUUUAUGUAAUUAUACCUAUUCUGCAUCGAGUUUAGUGAGUACUGGAGCACCCAAAAUUUAUGUGUAGGUCCGUCCCCGCUAUUAUACUUUUGUCAAUAUAGUAAAAUAGUCAUUGUCAUUCAGAUGUCGUACUGACAUAUUUCUUCUUUCUGCCUUCUCCUUUGCAGGUGGGUUUAGUUAUUGAAUUGAGAAGAUCUUAUCAAGCAUAUAAGGUAAUGCCAAGUCUGACUUUGAAGCGUUAUGGUGUAUGUGAUCGGAGGAUGGCUCUAUUCAAGUAAAUGGGAUUCAGUUCUUGCUUGCAUCGUUGGUUGCUGAGAAUAUUUUGCAGCGUCUAGGAUGUUCUUGAGUGAAAUCUUAACUAUCAGCAAUUUUUAAAACUUGAAAGAUCAAAGAUGCUGCGAUCAGCCAACUCCUCCCGGUCAAGACACAUUUUCCGUAUGUAGCAAGUAAAAUGUGUCCCAUCCUUUGGCUGACACAGAUACAUGAUGACUAUGAGGACUAGCCUGUGCUGCAAAUAACUGAAUUUAGACAACGACAAGCAUGACAGCAGGUUGGGUUUAUCGAUUUGUUCACAAAGAGCAUUGUUUGGCUUUCUCACAUACCAAUGUUGACACAAAUCGAUGUUGUCUGAGUAUUAAUAAAGUUCAAGGGACGUGCAGAAUAAGUGUGAUCACAAUGUAUAUAAUUAACUUUUUUUAAAAUACUCUCAAUGGCCAAGAUAUGCCAUGAAGCAAGUCUUUUCUUCUCUUGGCAAGCAGAAGAACAUAGUUUUGCUUUAUAUUUGAGGGGUAUGUGUGCAUCAGUGUGAAUUUGUAAAAUCAUAUUUACACGAUGAGCACCACAAGCCUGUACACAAAUGUUCAUUACUUGUGUCUAUAUUUAAUGGAGUUAGAGUCUUAGGGCAAA